AACGCUGCCGCAUGCAAGUCAGGUAACUGGCAACACGAUCGAAUUGCGGGGACCUCCUAAAGCUUCACAUACUAUCCAUCUUCGAAAGCGGGUGGCACAGUAAUAAUUGUGAAGAUACUACAAUGGACGAUCCGCAGCGAAGACCCUACAGCGCAAGCCAUGGGUAACGUUCACAGACUAAGUGAUUGUGGGUAGCUUACUACUUAAGAUAUAGUCGGGCCCUGGCCGAAAGGCUAGGGGUAAACGUCCGUAGGUGAACCUGCGGAAGGAUCAUUA
rnacentral:ncRNA from 1 species